GAUUAAGUAAAUAACUUUCCGUAGAAAGUAGGUACCUUAUGGUGUAACGUUAUACAACCUGCCGAGGAAGACGAUAUAUAUAUUAUUUAGUAUAUAAAGGUCUCUUCGUGCGUCUACGGAGAGACCUUUAAUUAUAUAAAA
rfam:Clostridium cellulovorans 743B, complete genome.